rnacentral:rRNA from 1 species
UGAAUACGAGACGCUAAGGCGUCGAAGUAGUGUAUGUCAUACUUCCAAGAAAAGCUUGCACUGUCAUAGAUAAAAAACGCCUGUACCAUAACCGACACAGGUGGGUAGGUAGAGUAUACUAAGGGGCGCGAGAUAACUCUCUCUAAGGAACUCGGCAAAAUAACUCCGUAACUUCGGGAGAAGGAGUGCCUUAUUCGUAAGGUUGCAAUAACAAGAUCCAAGCAACUGUUUAUCAAAAACACAGGUCUCCGCUAAGUCGUAAGACGAUGUAUGGGGGCUGACGCCUGCCCAGUGCCAGAAGGUUAAAGAAGUUGGUUAGCAAUUGCGAAACUGAUAACUGAAGCCCUUGUGAACGGCGGCCGUAACUAUAACGGUCCUAAGGUAGCGAAAUUCCUUGUCGGGUAAGUUCCGACCCGCACGAAAGGCGUAAUGAUUUGGAUACUGUCUCGGAGAGGGGCUCGGUGAAAUAGACUUGUCUGUGAAGAUGCGGACUACCUGCACCAGGACAGAAAGACCCUAUGAAGCUUUACUGUAACUUGAAAUUGAAAUUGGACUUUAUUCGCGCAGUAUAGGUGGGAGGCGUUGAUUAUAAUCUUGUGGGAUUAUUGGAGCCAUCAGUGAGAUACCACUCUUGUAAUGUUAGAUUUCUAACUUUGAAUCAUUAUCUGGUCAAAGAACAGUUUCAGGCGGGCAGUUUGACUGGGGCGGUCGCCUCCUAAACGGUAACGGAGGCGUACAAAAGUUUUCCUCUGAACGGUUAGAAAUCGUAUCUAGAGUGUAAAGGCAUAAGGAAGCUUGACUGUGAGACCUACAAGUCGAGCAGGGACGAGAGUCGGUCUUAGUGAUCUGACGGUACUGAGUGGAAAGGCCGUCACUCAACGGAUAAAAGUUACUCUAAGGAUAACAGGCUGAUCUCCCCCAAGAGUUCACAUCGACGGGGAGGUUUGGCACCUCGAUGUCGGCUCAUCGCAUCCUGGGGCGGUAGUACGUCCCAAGGGUUGGGCUGUUCGCCCAUGAAAGCGGUACGCGAGCUGGGUUCAGAACGUCGUGAGACAGUUCGGUCCAUAUCCGGUGUAGGCGUUAGAAUAUUGAGAGGAGCCUUCUUUAGUACGAGAGGACCGAGAAGGACAUACCUCUGGUGUACCAGUUAUCGUGCCAACGGUAAACGCUGGGUAGCCAUGUAUGGAGUGGAUAACCGCUGAAAGCAUCUAAGUGGGAAGCCCACCUCAAGAUAAG